rnacentral:rRNA from 1 species
UACCUGGUUGGUCCUGCCAGUAGUCAUAUGCUUGUCUUAAAGAUUAAGCCAUGCAUGUCUAAGUAUAAGCAUUUAUACCGCGAGACUGCGAACGGCUCAUUAAAACAGUUAUGGUUUAUUUGAUGGUUCCUUUGCUACUUGGAUAACCGUAGUAAUUCUAGAGCUAAUACAUGGCACGAAGGGGGCGACUCACGAAGCCCUGUAUUUUAUUAGAUUAAAGCCAACCACCCCCGGGGUGUUCGUGGUGAAUCAUAGUAACUUCUCGGGAUCGCCGGCUCUACGCCAGCGACGUGUCAUUUCAAAUUUUCUGCCCUAUCAGCUUUUAGAUGGGUAGGAUAUGGGCCUACCAUGGGCGGGUGACGGGUAAACGGGAGAAUUAGGGGUUCGAUUCCGGAGAGGGAGCCUGAAGAAACGGGCUACCACUUUCUAAAGGAAGGCAGCAGGCGCGCAAAAUUACCCAAUCCUGACUCGGGGAGGAAGUGACAAGAAAUAACAAUAAAACCGGCUUAUGGCCGGUUUAAUUGGGAAUGGAGUACAUUUUAAAACAUCUUACCGAGGAAACAAUUGGGAGGGGGAAGGUCUGGGGGCCAGCAGCCGCGGUAAUUCCCGCUUCCAAUAGC